UAUUAACGUUGUUAAUUUACUCAUCUUCAAUACCUGUUUAUUACAAUUAAGGGUCAUGGGGAGCUGGAGCCUAUCCCAUGGGUCACUGGGCAAUAAGUGGGGCACACCCAGAAGCCACCAGUCCACUGCAGCACCACAUAUAGACAGACAAACACAAUCACGGUCAAUUUAAAGUUUCCAGUUCAACUAAUCUGCCUGUCUUCAGACGUGGGAGAAAGUCAGAGCAUCCAGAGGGAAUCCACGCAAACUUGGGGAGAACAUGCAAACUCCACAGAGAAAGGACUAGGUGGGGAGCGAUCCAGGACCAUUUGCUGUGAGGCAACAGUGCUAAUCAAGUGCUGUGCUGCCUGUUCAAACUGUUGUCCUCAAAGGAAUGUUCUUAUAAUUUGUCCUAAUGUGGUACGACAGCCAUCUGUCAAACAUCUUCUUGUGAAUGUUAUAACCAUAUUGGUUCUCCAAGAAGAAGUAGAAGUAAUUCCUAUAUGGGCACUGAGGCUUGUUGGUGCCCAUGCUUAUCUCCACAUUUCAUGGCAUGAAGCAGAUGAGAAUCUAGGACACCACUCUUCCUCAUGGAUGGAAUGCCAGUCCAUUGCAGAUUACUUCCCCAGCCAAGGCAGUACCCUUUUAAUGUCACCAUUUGGUGUGUGGUGGUGUGACUGGGAAUUGAAGCCAGGUCUCCAUAUUAAUGGCCCAACUCCUUAUCCCACUGCCCUACCUGCUCUAGUUUUCCAAGCCAACAAGAAAAUUUAAUCAAAUACUUAUUUUUCUGAAUGAUCUGAUUUUCAGUAGAGAAUCUGCUUAUCCAGAAAAUUUAGAACAUCCUGGUUCCAACAGAUCUUAACUAGAUCUGUUCCAAAAUGUAGUAGGCCAUAGUCCAGUUGUGACCUUUCUCCAAGUCUCAAGGUUGAAUUCCUUAAUAAUUCAUGACGAUUGGAGCAUAAUUGUGAACAGGUGUUGAAAAGCCACUGCACACUUCAUCAAACAGCAACUGAACCAGGUUACAAAAGCUUGUGUGUGAAUUCACUUUUCAGUGGGCUCCACUCGUGGUUCCAUAAGGAUCAUAAAACACAAUGAUCUUGGUGGACAAGUUUGGCAUCAUUAUGAUCCAUUUUUCAUUGAUGUCAGUGUGUUAAAACUGGAGAUUGAAUAGAUUUGUUUCCCCCUGUAGAAGGGAUGUCACGACACCACCUAACAUCCUGAACAGCCUUUCUGAUGAAGUACGCUACAGACCUAAACAAAAUGUGUUACAUAUUUCUCCCGUCUUUCUUCUUUAGACAAACAGAAAUCUACAGCUGGAGUUCUACACAAAGGACUCACAAGGAAAAUGCCUACAGCACUGGACAGGCACACAAAAACAACAUUAAUGCACUGGAACAUUUUUGGAGAUAUACAGGGUGCAGAACAUCCCCACCCCACCUCCACAUAUCAUUACAUAUAAACAUUAAUUAAUACAUUUAGUAAAAGCUGAAAAUACAGAGGAGAACCAUAUCUGUCCAAAAUGACAAAAUCUAACUAUUGUAUUUGUUGUAUUACAGGACGAACUCAACCUUUUUAGUCUAAUGAAAAUAGGUUCACUAUUUUUCAGUAAUUUUGCCACCGAUAAAUUAAGAGAACAUAAAGACAAACUUGGUGAAUGUAAAAACAUUUUUGGAUGAUUCACUUAAAAGUAACCUCACGUAUUUUGCACAGAAAGUGAUGCAGUGAUUGUAGGAAGACCGAGCAUUGAGUCAGAAAACUAUUUUCAUGCUUAAUACAUUUUUUAAAUUUAUACCACAAGUAUUUCCCAGCAGCCUUGUGGGACCUCUAAAUAUUUUCCCCCCAGAAGAUGAAAUAAAAUAAGACUGUGUCUGUUUCUCUCUCCAUCUCUAUCUCCUCCCACACUUUCACAACCACCCACCCUCUGUUGCCAUGAUAAUCUUGGAAUCCCUGUCAUCUACACUGGCAUCACCAUGGUUACCAUUGAUGUGUUGCCAUGUAUGUAAAUAUGUUAGAUAAAGAUGAGUGGACUUUCAGUUGACGCCUUCAAAUAAAAACUGAAGAUGUUGUUGCAGAAAUAUGCAAAAUUCAGUUUUUUCCAUUUUGCUCCUCCGCCCAUAAACACACACACGCAGCCACACUCCUGGUAUAAAUCAAUAAGAUGUGAUAUUUAAGUUAUGAUCAUAUAGAGAUUGUAUAUAUGGAUAUUUGAAGAAAAAAGUGUAUUUAUGAUGUGAGUGUGAGUGUGUGUCUACUUCAGGAUUAUUUUUCAAAAUUAACAGAUUUAAUCUGAGUUGAAUCAAUUUGCUUCUCCAAGUUUAAGUGUUAUAAGUUGAUGAACUGUUGUAGGAAACCAUCAAGGCAGUUUAUUUCCUCAUUUGUAUCUGUGUCCAGAUAUUUUUUUUAUGCAAUGUUAAUUUUUCUUUGAAACACGUGCCUUGCUUUGUGAUUUUUGAUCUGAUUACAGUACAGUAGAUGAUUAUGUACAAUA